UUCGGUAAUUAAUAUAAAAAGAAUAUUUACUAAAGUAUACUAUACAAAAAUACAAUAUUAAACCAAUCAAUUAAGCAGAUAAAAUUAUUUCACCUAUGACAUGCAUAAUAUAUCGAGAAAAAUGCAGGCUCUAGCUGACACAACAUUUAAGUGGAAGCUCUAUAGAGCAUAGCUGGACAAUUAAUAUCUAAGUUGAAUCUUGCAUAAUUCAAAGAUGAGUAUACAUAUAAAGUAAUACCCUCUUCCAAGCCAGAAAUUUAAACUUAUAGACAAGCAGAAUCUACCCUAAAAAUUAAUCAAAGAAAAAAGAAAACUAAAACAUAACAUUUGGAGGGUUAAAUCCAAAAAUAAUUUAUUGACUACUCCAGUAAGUCUCUGGUCACUAACAGACCUGAAAAACGACAAUCUGCACAGAUUGAUCUGUUUCAUGAUACUCAAUAUGUUUACAUUCUGAUGUUGUGAUGAAAGCCAUACAAAAAUCCCAGCAAUGUCUGUUUUACCAAACACAAAAGAUGACCCUAAUGAGAGAAUUGAAGAAGAAAAGGACUAGAAACUAGUAAAGGAAAACGCACUUGUGCCAACCGAACAUGUAAUGGGAUUAUUAAGAUUUCUGAUUACAAAGAAAACGAAGAAGGCCUACCACAUGAAGACCAUAGUUAACCAUUUGUUGGCCAAAAAUAAACAAACUAUCAUAUCUAAAAAUGAAAAAGGUAGUUAUACAGAAAUGAGACAUUUAACUAUAAAUAAUCUAUUCAUAGAAUUCUAAAUAUUCUUAAUUACAUUUAAAUAAAAAAAAAAUUCAAAACAUCAUAGGCAAGUAGUAAAAAAAUGUACAAAUUAAUAAAUUGAAAUUAUAGAAUGUUUAGUACAAUUGGAAUAAGUUAGCGCAUAAUAGAUAAACAGAUA